rnacentral:rRNA from 1 species
GCUGGCGGCGUGGCUAAGGCAUGCAAGUCGUACGGGACUUUCGCGGUAGUAAUACUUCGAAAGUUUAGUGGCGAACGGGUGAGUAAUGCACGGGUAACGUACCUCGGACACAGGGAUAGCGGCGUCCUUCGGGACUUUAGCGAAAGUGCCGGUAAUACCUGAUAACCUUCAGAAACCUCAUGAUUUCUGGAGCAAAGGCGGGGAUCCUUCGGGACCUGUCGGUUGGAGAUCGGCCCAUGUCCUAUCAGCUUGUUGGUGGGGUAACGGCCCACCAAGGCUCUGACGGGUAGCCGGCGUGAGAGCGCGACCGGCCACAUCGGGACUGAGACACUGCCCGGACACCUACGGGUGGCUGCAGCAACGAAUAUUCCGCAAUGGACGCAAGUCUGACGGAGCGACGCCGCGUGAAGGAUGAAGUCCUUCGGGAUGUAAACUUCACUAGUUUGUCAGGAAGCGAUGGGGCCUAAUACGUCCCUGAGUUGACCAUCAAACGAAA